UUGGAGGGCAGUCUGGUGCCAGCAGCCGCGGUAAUUCCAGCUCCAAUAGCGUAUAUUAAAGUUGUUGCAGUUAAAAAGCUCGUAGUUGAACUUCGGGGUCUACCCAUUGGUCAGGCUUAAUUGUCUGCACUGGUGAGAUGGAUCUCUACCCUCUGAGGAACUUUCAUGCCAUUUAUUUGGUGUGGUUGGAAAUCAGGACUGUUACUUUGAAAAAAUUAGAGUGUUUAAAGCAGACUAUCGUCUGAAUACAUUAGCAUGGAAUAAUGAAAUAGGACGGACUGAUUCUAUUUCGUUGGUUUCUAGGAUCACCGUAAUGAUUAAUGGGGAUAGUUGGGGGCAUUAGUAUUCAAUUGUCAGAGGUGAAAUUCUUGGAUUUAUUGAAGACUAACUACUGCGAAAGCAUUUGCCAAGGAUGUUUUCAUUAAUCAAGAACGAAAGCUAGGGGAUCGAAGACGAUCAGAUACCGUCGUAGUCUUAACCAUAAACUAUGCCGACUAGGGAUCGGACGAAGUUAAUUUUAUAAUGACGCGUUCGGCGCCUUACGGGAAAC
rnacentral:rRNA from 1 species